CUCUAAACCAAAAUCUGUAUGGACCCAAAACUUCUCGGAUUCAACUUGUAAUACGGCCUCUAAACCAAAAUCUGUAUGGACCCAAAACUUCUCGGAUUCAACUUGUAAUACGGCCUCUAAACCAAAAUCUGUAUGGACCCAAAACUUCUUGUAUUCAACUUGUAAUACAGCCUUAUGUGUCAUGGAAAGACAAACCAAUGGUAUCAAGGUCGGAACGAAUUCUCUGGUGCAAAGACAUUCAUGUACCGGAUCCUUUGGUUGGGUGUGCCGGGGAGAUAACAAAGCCAUCAAGGUUUGAACAGCUCUUCCAGUGGACAGAAAAUAAGAUUGCCAGGAGGUCCUUUGGUUAAGUUUAUGCUAGUAAAGCGAUCAUUUCUCCUGUGCCGUCUAUGCCAUGACCGCACACCCCAGUCAGUCAGUCAAUCAGUCCUCUAGUGCAGAAGGCUGGUAUUACAAAACACUUUGCCUUCUCACAUCAGCUAUAUCUAAAGGUCAAAGGGGGGAUCAAUCAGGUUCUAAUGAGUGUUUUUUUAUGCUCAUGGUACAGAGGAAGGAUGAAACUACCACUAGGGUCAUAAAAGUACCCCUGGAAAUGCCCACAACUCUUACGAAAGCCUUGUCAAAUAUGUGUUCCUGGGCGGCGAAAUGUCUCUUAAUACGACUCUUAAAGUCUCCACACACUGAAUUCCACUUUAUAUUUUUGCCGUUAAGAUGAAAAUAACCAACCUGUGCCAUCAUGGUUAAGACAAAGUGGUGCAAAGUCCCCCAUUUACUGAAACCUCUAUUGUCUGUUGUUCCGAUGAUUAUUUCCCUGGUGUGAAGAUGACAAUGGACUCCCAAUGCUGUCAAGGUUGGGAAAAGUCAUCCAGAGCAGAGCCUUCCCUUUAAUUACUGUGAAAGCCUCCAUGUGUCUAACUGCUUUGUUGAACGUGUGUAGAAAGAAUGACAGCUCACACCCAAUGCUGUCCAAGUUGGGAGAAUCACCCAUGUAAUGAGAUCGUUUUGUUGAAUUUGUGCCUGUGCUUUCCAUGCAGGGGUUAUUUAGGUCCAUUAUUGAAUAUGUGCCAGAAAGAGAGAAAUUCACACCCAAUGCUGUCGAGGUUGGGAGAAUCAUCCAUUGCAAAAUCCUCCAUAUACUGAGAUCCUUUUGUUGAAUUUGUGCCUGUACUUUUCCAUGCAGGAGUUAUUUAGGUCCAUUACUGAAUAUGUGCCAGAAAGAGAGAAAUUCACACCCAAUGCUGUCAAGGUUGGGAGAAUCAUCCAUUGCAAAAUCCUCCAUAUACUGAGAUCCUUUUGUUGAAUUUGUGCCUGUGCUUUCCAUGCAGGAGUUAUUUAGGUCCAUUACUGAAUAUGUGCCAGAAAGAGAGAAAUUCACACCCAAUGCUGUCAAGGUUGGGAGAAUCAUCCAUUGCAAAAUCCUCCAUAUACUGAGAUCCUUUUGUUGAAUUUGUGCCUGUACUUUUCCAUGCAGGAGUUAUUUAGGUCCAUUACUGAAUAUGUGCCAGAAAGAGAGAAAUUCACACCCUAUGCUAUGAAGGUUGGGAAAAGUCAUCCAGUGCAGAAUCCUCCAUGUAAUGAGAUCCUUUUGUUGACUUUGUGCCUGGACUUGUCAUUUAGGAGUUGUAAGUCUUUGGGUGCUGAAGGUGUGUAGCGUACCUCCCAUGGAUGCUCUGCUACUAAGGCUGCACAGGGAGCGACGUGAUGUACUAUUGAUGCGGAGUUACCUUACGAAGGGACUGACGUAACGUGUGUGUGUGCGUGUGUGUGCGUGACCUGGUCGGGUUUCCAAAUUGGAGACUUAGACACUGAAAAAGACAGCAACAGUUUGGAAUUAACUUGCUAUCUGUGAACUAAAAGCUUCCAUGAUAGUGCAUACUCAUUAAAGUGGGUCAGUUUUUUAAUCUAACUCUGCCGGUGGUGUUGCGGAGAGGCCUGGAAGCAACACAGACAGACAGGCUCAGUGUUGUGUGGUGGGUUGAGAGACGAGCUUCCUGCACAACAUCAGCAUACAUAAUAAAACGAUACGUGUGUGAAGUCGUUUCGUCCCGGAAAGUAUACAUACAUAAUACCAUAUUUUGUGUAGCUGUAGCAGAAUGGUAUCGCACAAAUAUAUCGGUAUGCAAA